rnacentral:lncRNA from 1 species
GCGGGGGCUGUCUGCGUAUGGCAUUAACACGUACAUAGUGCUAGCGGGUGGUAGGGUGUUGCUGUGCAGGGCACUUGGGACGUGUGCUAGUAGAGGGAUGUGUAUAAGUAAAGUGGUGGGUUAGAAACAGCACGUUGAAACAGUGCAUGGGAGCAUGACUCUCGAGGUUGUAACAGGAGCCUGCUGAAUCCAAUGCACCCGACUGGAGCCGAUAGCUGUGUGUGGCAAGCAGUAAUGCGCCUCACAACCAAGCGUGCUCACCCAAAGUGUGUCCAAUCCUUGAACCUAACAGAUUGUGCUGGAGAACUACGCCCUGCCCGGCCUGAUGAUGAUUGGCACGGACUCGCACACGCCCAACGCCGGUGGCCUGGGUAUGUGCGCGGUGGGCGUGGGUGGCGCCGACGCGGUGGACGUGAUGGCGGGCCUGCCCUGGGAGCUGAAGGCGCCCAAGGUGAUCGGUGUCAAGCUGACGGGCAAGAUGUCCCGGUGGACCUCGCCCAAGGACGUCAUCCUCAAGGUGCGAGCCUGGCAGGGCUGCUGGUUGGGGUAGUCUUGGGGCAUGGCAGGGUUGGCGCGGGCGCAGGCUGGUAGGGCCCUAGCCAGGGCGGAACGGGCUGGUUUGGGACGAUGGUACCGCUACGGUUAACGGUGAUGAGAGGCAGUGAUGCACCUGUGGUGGUACCGUAACCUCCGCGCUCCAGUCGGACCGGCCCCUCUCCUACCUUCUCCGCCAUACCGCUUUGGCAACCUGCAGGUGGCGGGCAUCCUGACGGUGAAGGGCGGCACUGGCGCCAUCGUGGAGUACUUCGGCCCGGGCGUGGACCACAUGAGCUGCACCGGCAUGGCAACGGUUUGCAACAUGGGCGCUGAGAUCGGUGCCACCACCUCCAUGUUCCCUUACAACAAGCGCAUGCACGACUACCUGGUCGCCACCGGCCGCGCGCCGGCCGCCUCGCUGGCCGACUCGUUCAAGUGGGUGGCAGCGUGGCAGACGUGUACCUUGGCAUUCCCCGAGGAAGUUGCAUUAAGCGGCACCGCCAUUGAGGCUUGACUCUGGAAUAGGCUGCCGGUGACCGUGGGCUGGGGCGGGGCAGGCGAUGGGGUGGCCUGGUGGCACCGCCAAGGUACAGGCCUUCACGGCUCCCAUUGAAUGCGGCCCGCUUUUUAUAACGUACCCACCCGUAGGGAGCACCUGAAGGCGGACGAGGGCGCGCAGUACGACCAGCUGAUUGAGAUCAACCUGUCCGAGCUGGAGCCGCACGUCAACGGCCCCUUCACGCCCGACCUGGCGCACCCGCUGUCCAAGUUCGCGGAGGAGAUGCGCAAGAACGGCUGGCCCACGG